UCGCGUUUUGACCUAAAACCUCUCAACCAUUGGUUCAGGUAUGAAAAGAUAAGAGAGGAUUGACCUUGCCAAAGCCCAAUUCGGGCGUUGACUGAGCUGCAGACCAUCUCUUCUCUCUCGUGGUCUCCGACGAUGCACGUCGGAGUGGCGCCGUCUGGCCACCCCUGGCGAUGAGACCACCAUCAAUCUUUUCCUCUCUUUCUCUUCUACCUAACCCAGUCCAUGAAACUCUUAUGCAAUUCGAUUCAAAGCCAAACCGAGGGAGAGAAGCCCCGGCUGUUUUCCAGCGAAUCCUUGAGAUUCCGGCCACGACGUGACGAGUGGGAGGUAGGGUUACCUUCCUCUCUUCCUAUUUCACCUUCUGGUGCCUUUCUUUUUCCCAAAUCGUGCCUUAAUCAAAAACCCUUAUUUCUGUGUUUUCUGGGUUUCCCGGGUUCCUCCUCCGGCGAUGGUGUUUUGUGGAUUCCGGCGAGUUCUUCAGCGUGUUAGUGGGUCCUGUGAGCUUGGUUUGAAGUGGAGAUGGACCUUGGAGUGACUUGUAGAGCUGCACAUGUACUCUCUAUGGAUGCGUUUGGUAGAGCUGACAAAAAUGGAUAGGAUUUCAUACUAGAUUGGAAUGAGACUAGAUUGGAUAGCAGAUAUCAUUUCUGCAAACAAAUCUUGUGUUUGUGUGUUAGGAUUAGGAACAAGAUAAGAUAAGAAAACAAAGAAUUUUUUUUUUUUUUCCUAGAAAAUUCAGAAGCCUUCAUCAUUGAGAAAAUUCAGAUCCAAAUUCAAUCUCAUAACCCAUCCUCCAUUUUUGACGAUUCUAGUCCCA
rnacentral:lncRNA from 1 species